rnacentral:rRNA from 1 species
UGCCAGCAGCCGCGGUAAUACGGAGGGGGUUAGCGUUGUUCGGAAUUACUGGGCGUAAAGCGCACGUAGGCGGAUUAGAAAGUUAGAGGUGGAAUCCCGGGGCUCAACCCCGGAACUGCCUUUGAAACUACUAGUCUAGAGUUCGAGAGAGGUGAGUGGAAUUCCGAGUGUAGCGGUGAAAUGCGUAGAUAUUCGGAGGAACACCAAUUGCGAAGGCAGUUCACUGGACCGUGAUCGACGCUGAGGAGCGAAAGCUAGGGGAGCAAACAGGAUUAGAUA